AUGUUGAGAUGAUUGAGCCACAAGUUUGAAACUGCCAGGACUUCUGAGUCACCACAUGGAAAACUGCUCGUCUGCAGAGUUAUAAAAUUUGGCUAGGACUUCAUCACAGUUUUUAAAGUAUCUAGUGUAUAUAAGGACAAGCCAUUCUCAGUCAAGCAUGAAACUGAAUCUGAGGAAAAGAAGAAAGCUGAAAACACACUGAGGAUUAUGGGAGAGGGGCAAGUGCAUGAAGCUUCUCAAUGACAUACAGACACUCUAAAAGCUCAAGAGAUCAAUUAUUCAACUUCAAGAACUGAAAUUUGAACACAGAUUUUGAGCUUCCAAAUCAGGAGAAAAAGAAGUGUUCUAUAAGAAGUUUGGACAAGACUCUGCAAGAAGUUAAGAGCAGGUCCUUAAAGGCAACUGUGAAUUAACGGAGACUAGUUUUGAGAAAAUCAGUCCUGAUUUGUUUCUCCUGGAGUUUUCUUCUUUAUGUGAUCCUUCAUAAAAGCUGCUAAUAUGGGAAAGAUUGAAAUCAGCAAGUUUCUGGCUGUAAGCUAAAAGAGGCUCUUGAAUCAUAUUUCCGCCUGCUUAGCAAAUUUCUCUUGCGACAAUUGGAUGUUAUUUGGGGUUCCAUACUAGCAGGAAGAAGUACAAGCAAAGCUAAGUCAUUUUGAGAAUAAAUAUUAUCUCUCU
rnacentral:lncRNA from 1 species